GGGAAUAUUGCGCAAUGGGGGCAACCCUGACGCAGCAACGCCGCGUGAUUGAAGAAGGCCUUCGGGUUGUAAAGAUCUUUAAUCGGGGACGAAUUUUGACGGUACCCGAAGAAUAAGCUCCGGCUAACUACGUGCCAGCAGCCGCGGUAAUACGUAGGGAGCAAGCGUUAUCCGGAUUUACUGGGUGUAAAGGGCGUGUAGGCGGGCAUGCAAGCCAGAAGUGAAAUCUGGGGGCUUAACCCCCAAACUGCUUUUGGAACUGCGUGUCUUGAGUGAUGGAGAGGCAGGCGGAAUUCCCAGUGUAGCGGUGAAAUGCGUAGAUAUUGGGAGGAACACCAGUGGCGAAGGCGGCCUGCUGGACAUUAACUGACGCUGAGGCGCGAAAGCGUGGGGAGCAAAC
rnacentral:rRNA from 1 species